rnacentral:tRNA from 1 species
AGCGGGGUGGGGAAGCCAGGCCUAUCCCGGCGGGCUCAUAACCCGCAGAACGGUGGUUCAAAUCCACCCCCCGCUA